CCUACGGGGGGCUGCAGUAGGGAAUAUUCCACAAUGGGCGAAAGCCUGAUGGAGCAACGCCGCGUGCAGGAUUAAGGCCUUCGGGUUGUAAACUGCUUUUAUAUGUGAAGAAUAUGACGGUAGCAUAUGAAUAAGCCUCGGCUAACUCCGUGCCAGCAGCCGCGGUCAUACGGAGGAGGCAAGCGUUAUCCGGAUUUACUGGGCGUAAAGAGUUGCGUAGGCGGUUUUGUAAGCAAAUAGUGAAAUCAUGUGGCUCAACCAUACUGACUAUUAUUUGAACUGCAGAACUUGAGAGCGAGAGGGGUGAUUGGAAUUCCCGGUGUAGGAGUGAAAUCCGUAGAUAUCGGGAGGAACACCAAUGGCGUAGGCAGAUCACUGGCUCGUUUCUGACGCUAAGGCACGAAAGCGUGGGUAGCAAACGGGCUUAGAUACCCGAGUAGUC
rnacentral:rRNA from 1 species